AGGAAUAUUGGUCAAUGGGCGCAGGCCUGAACCAGCCAAGUAGCGUGAAGGAUGACUGCCCUAUGGGUUGUAAACUUCUUUUAUAAAGGAAUAAAGUCGGGUAUGUAUACCCGUUUGCAUGUACUUUAUGAAUAAGGAUCGGCUAACUCCGUGCCAGCAGCCGCGGUAAUACGGAGGAUCCGAGCGUUAUCCGGAUUUAUUGGGUUUAAAGGGAGCGUAGAUGGAUGUUUAAGUCAGUUGUGAAAGUUUGCGGCUCAACCGUAAAAUUGCAGUUGAUACUGGAUAUCUUGAGUGCAGUUGAGGCAGGCGGAAUUCGUGGUGUAGCGGUGAAAUGCUUAGAUAUCACGAAGAACUCCGAUUGCGAAGGCAGCCUGCUAAGCUGCAACUGACAUUGAGGCUCGAAAGUGUGGGUAUCAAACAGGAUUAGAUACCCUGGUAGUCCACACGGUAAACGAUGAAUACUCGCUGUUUGCGAUAUACUGCAAGCGGCCAAGCGAAAGCGUUAAGUAUUCCACCUGGGGAGUACGCCGGCAACGGUGAAACUCAAAGGAAUUGACGGGGGCCCGCACAAGCGGAGGAACAUGUGGUUUAAUUCGAUGAUACGCGAGGAACCUUACCCGGGCUUAAAUUGCAGAUGAAUUACGGUGAAAGCCGUAAGCCGCAAGGCAUCUGUGAAGGUGCUGCAUGGUUGUCGUCAGCUCGUGCCGUGAGGUGUCGGCUUAAGUGCCAUAACGAGCGCAACCCUUGUUGUCAGUUACUAACAGGUUUUGCUGAGGACUCUGACAAGACUGCCAUCGUAAGAUGUGAGGAAGGUGGGGAUGACGUCAAAUCAGCACGGCCCUUACGUCCGGGGCUACACACGUGUUACAAUGGGGGGUACAGAGGGCCGCUACCACGCGAGUGGAUGCCAAUCCCCAAAACCUCUCUCAGUUCGGACUGGAGUCUGCAACCCGACUCCACGAAGCUGGAUUCGCUAGUAAUCGCGCAUCAGCCACGGCGCGGUGAAUACGUUCCCG
rnacentral:rRNA from 1 species